rnacentral:rRNA from 1 species
GGGANUUUGCGCAUGGGGGAACCCUGNCGCAGCAACGCCGCGUGGAGGAUGAAGUCCUUCGGGACGUAAACUCCUUUCGAUCGGGACGAUUAUGACGGUACCGGAAGAAGAAGCCCCGGCUAACUUCGUGCCAGCAGCCGCGGUAAUACGAGGGGGGCAGAGCGUUGUUCGGAAUUAUUGGGCGUAAAGGGUGCGUAGGCGGUUUGGUAAGUCUCUUGUGAAAUCUAUGGGCUCAACUCAUAGUCUGCAAGGGAAACUGCCGGGCUUGAGUGUGGGAGAGGUGAGUGGAAUUUCCGGUGUAGCGGUGAAAUGCGUAGAUAUCGGAAGGAACACCUGUGGUGAAAGCGGCUCACUGGACCACAACUGACGCUGAUGCACGAAAGCUAGGGGAGCAAACAGGAUUAGAUACCCUGGUAGUCCUAGCCCUAAACGAUGACUGCUUGGUGUGACGGGUACCCAAUCCCGCCGUGCCGUAGCUAACGCGUUAAGCAGUCCGCCUGGGGAGUACGGUCGCAAGGCUGAAACUCAAAAAAAUUGACGGA